rnacentral:rRNA from 1 species
CCCUUAGAUGUUCUGGGCCGCACGCGCGCUACACUGAUGCAUUCAACGAGUCUAAAACCUGCUCUGAUAGGGGUGGGUAAUCUUUUGAAUGUGCAUCGUGAUUGGGAUAGAUGAUUGCAAUUUUUCAUCUUCAACGAGGAAUGCCUAGUAAACGCAAGUCAUCAGCUCGCGUUGAUUACGUCCCUGCCCUUUGUACACACCGCCCGUCGCUACUACCGAUUGAAUGGUUUAGUGAGGACUCCUGAUUGGCGCCGCCGCCCCGGCAACGGAGCAGCGGACUGCCGAAAAGUUGUUCAAACUUGAUCAUUUAGAGGAAGUAAAAGUCGUAACA